GGGUGAGGACCGAAAUGGGAAAAACAUUUUUCACACAGAGAGUGGUGAAUCUGUGGAAUUCUCUGCCACAGAAGGUAGUUGAGGCCACAGUUCAUUGGCUAUAUUUAAGAGGGAGUUAGAUGUGGCCUUUGUGGCUAAAGGGAUCAGGUGGUAUGGAGAGAAGGCAGGUACAGGAUACUGAGUUGAAUGAUCAGCCAUGAUCAUAUUGAAUGGCGGUGCAGGCUCGAAGGGCCGAAUGGCCUACUCCUGCACCUAUUUUCUAUGUUUCUAACUCCCAUGAGCCCUCGCGCCCCCCGGCACGACAGGAAAUAUAGUCCAUCAUCCACACAGUGCCUACAACUCCCAUGAGCCACCAGGGAGUGGUCCCCGUAUUGAACGCUUGUACUUUUCCAAGGCCGAUGUCUCUUGUGUAUCGGCGGCCUCCAUGCGGCUGGUGCCAUGCUCACACCGCUGCCUGGUGCGAGUGGACUUUAUCCCAGCGCACGCACAGGCAGGUCCAUGUAUUGGCAUUUUAACAACCAGCUGCUGGUGGAUCACCGACUGCGGGAUUCGUUCAGGAAGUUCUGGGUGAAGUGGAGAGAGCGCAGGGGCGUUUCCGUUCCCUAAGGCAGUGGUGGGACGUGGGGAAGGCUUACGUCCGUCUGUUUUGCCACGACUAUGCGAGGGGGUCGACCAAAGGGUGGGACUACGAGAUCAGACGGCUUGAGAAAGUUGCUCGACUCGGAGGCUCGCCUGCAUCGGACUGGUGGGGUACAUGGAGAGGUAAUGACAGGGCAGGUACAUGGACAGGUAAUGACACAGGGCAGGUACAUGGACAGGUAAUGACAGGGCAGGUACAUGGACAGGUAAUGACACAGGGCAGGUACAUGGACAGGUAAUGACAGGGCAGGUACAUGGACAGGUAAUGACAGGGCAGGUACAUGGACAGGUAAUGACACAGGGCAGGUACAUGGACAGGUAAUGACACAGGGCAGGUACAUGGACAGGUAAUGACACAGGGCAGGUACAUGGACAGGUGAUGACACAGGGCAGGUACAUGGACAGGUAAUGACACAGGGCAGGUACAUGGACAGGUGAUGACACAGGGCAGGUACAUGGACAGGUGAUGACACAGGGCAGGUACAUGGACAGGUGAUGACACAGGGCAGGUACAUGGACAGGUGAUGACACAGGGCAGGUACAUGGACAGGUGAUGACAGGGCAGGUACAUGGACAGGUGAUGACAGCAGGGUGCUCCAGCUCCACCUGCUAUGAACUGAUCCCUCGUGCAGCCGCUGGGCUCUGGAGGGGUGGGAGUUGUGCUCUUUGCUCUGAGCUCACUGCGUUCCUCAGCGGCCACAACAGACAUCAAGGAGAGAACAUCGCCAGCUUGCACAACCAGAUCACUGCCUGUGACACCAUCCUGGAAGUAGGUGGGUGCGGGCACAGCCUCGGGGGCAUUGCCACAGUUAUACUGGCAGGGUUGUGGCCAGCGACUACACUGGGCUGCUCUUGUAAGGAGGUCAACGAGAAUGUUGCCAGGACUAGAGGGUGUGAGCUGUGGGGAGAGGUUGAGUAGACUGGGUCUCUAUUCCAUGGAGCGCAACAGGAUGAAGGGAGAUGUUAUAGAAAUGUCCAAAAUCAUGAGAGGAAUAGAUCGGGUAGACGCACAGGCCAACAAUGUCCUAUCUACCCUAGUCCCACUUGCCUGCGCUUGGUCCAUAACCCUCCAUUUAGAACAAAGACUUGGAAACAUUUUUUCUCACAGAGUGGUGAGUCUGUGGAAUUCUCUGCCUCAGAGGGCGGUGGAGGCCACCCAUUUCAAACCCCGACCCACCCUAAACCUACCCACCCAGUAUCCCGUUCUUACCUUCUCCCCAGAUCCCUUGACUCCGCUAUCUUUAAGAGCCCUAUCUAGCUCUCUCUUGAGAUUCCAGAGAACCGGCCUCCACCACCCUCUGAGGCAGAGAAUUCCACAGACUCACAACUCUCAGGGUGAGAAAGUGUUUCCUCAUCUCCGUUCAAAAUGGCUUACCCCUUAUUCUUAAAUUGUGGCCCCUGGUUCUGGACUCCCCCAACAUUGGGAACAUGUUUCCUGCCUCCAAUUCCCUAACAAUCUUAAAUGUUUCAAUGAGAUCCCAUCUCACGCUUCCAGAGUGUACAAGCCCAACCGCUCCAUUCUAUCAACAUAUGACAGUCCCGCCAUCCCGGGAAUUAACCUUGUGAACCUACACUGCACUCCAACCUCUCCCUACAGCUCACACCCUCUAGUACUCUCAAGAGGGAGCUAGAUAGGGAUCUUAAAAAUAGCUGAGUCAGGGGAUAUGGGGAGAAGGCAGGAACGGGGUACUGAUUGGGGAUGAUCAGCCAUGAUCACAUUGAAUGGUGCUGCUGGCUUGAAGGGCCGAAUGGCCUGCUCCACUCUCUGUGUCUCUGUCUAUCCUGUACAACAGGUGAGAUACAGGUACGGCCUCUCUCUGUCACUGACCAAUACCAGGUUGGAAAUACACGUGUGGCAUCUCUCUCUGUGUAACUUCUCUACAAUGGAGGCACGGUGUCGCAGCGGGUAGUGCAGAAUGUCAUCAGUUGCCACCCAUUGGUUGGCGUUCGCGGGGUAAAGUACAAGGGAUCUGCGCUCCACUGCAAAUGGUUGACCGUUCUGCUUGUCGUUUGUGCAGGCCGUUUCAAAGAUCAGGGAGUUUAUUCUGCAGAAGCUCUAUUCAUUUCGCAAACCCAUGACCAACUACCAGGUUCCUCAGAACGCACUGUUGAAAUACAGAUAUGGCACCUCUGUGUGUGUGUGUGUCUGUCCUGUACAACAGGUGAGAUACAGGUACGGCCUCUCUCUGUCCCCGUUAAGUAACAGAACUGAGGUACAGGUAAGUCAUCUCCCUAUCUUAAAAGAUUGUUAAGGGCUUGGACACGCUAGAGGCAGGAAACAUGUUCUCGAUGUUAGGGGAGUCCAGAAGCAGGGGCCACAGUUUAAGAAUAAGGAGUAAGCCAGCCUUAAUGACUACCGUCCUGUGGCCCUCACUCCGGUAAUCACGAAGUGCUUCGAGAGGUUGGUCCUCCAGCACAUCAAGGACUAUCUACCACCAGACCUCGACCCCCACCAAUUCGCCUAUCGCCAAAACAGAUCCACAGAAGACGCCAUCACCGUAGCUCUCCACUCUGUGCUGAGCCAUCUGGAGCAGGGGCAGAGCUACGUCCGGUUGCUCUUUGUGGAUUUUAGUUCAGCCUUUAAUACAAUCAUUCCGGACAUUCUCAUAGGUAAACUGGUCACUCUCGGCCUCCCCACUGUCACAUGUGCCUGGAUAAAGGAUUUCCUCACCAACCGGCCCCAGACUGUGAGACUCGGCCCCCACCUCUCCUCCACUCGCAGGUUGAGUACCGGUUCCCCACAGGGCUGUGUGCUAAGCCCCCUCUUAUACUGUCUCUACACCUACGACUGUAGUCCGGCCCACAACAACAACCGCAUCGUCAAAUUUGCUGACGACACUACUGUGGUCGGACUUAUUUCGAAGGGAGACGAGGCAGCCUACAGAGAGGAAGUCCUGAAGUUGACAACCUGGUGCUCAGAAAACAAUCUGGCUCUGAACACCAGGAAAACAAAAGAGCUCAUUGUCGACUUCAGGAGGCACAGCACCGACUUACAUCAACGGCGAGUGUGUGGAGAGGGUCAACACCUUCCGGUUUCUCGGUGUCCAUAUCGCUGCUGACAUCUCCUGGACGGACAACACGACAGCGGUCAUCAAGAAGGCUCAGCAGCGGCUGCACUUCCUGAGGGUCCUCAGGAAGCACAACCUGGACUCUAACCUGCUGCUGACCUUCUACCGCUCGUCCAUCGAGAGCCUGCUGACAUACUGCAUUACAGCAUGGUAUGGCAGCUGCACCAUGGCAGACAGGGAGAGGCUUCAGAGGGUAACCAGGACAGCGCAGAGAUCAUUGGCUGCCCUCUCCCCUCCCUGAUGGACAUCUACACCUCCCGCUGCCUUAGCAGGGCAAAGAAGAUCAUCAAAGACAGCUCCCAUCCUGCGUUUGGACUGUUCGACCUGCUGCCCUCUGGAAGGCGCUAUAGGUGCAUCAAAUCCAGGACAAACAGACUCAGGAAUAGUUGCUUUCCGAGAAUUAUAUCUGCUAUAAAUUCAAAUUCACACAUGCACUGACUACACCGCCCAACACGGACUUCCAUCUGUAUAUAUGUAUAUAUGAAUGUAGCGCCGCAGAAUUUGUGCACCUAUUCCCCCCCCCCCCAUCUCCCUUCUG